rnacentral:rRNA from 1 species
UACGGAGGGGCUAGCGUUGUUCGGAAUUACUGGGCGUAAAGGCUCGUAGGCGGCCAACUAAGUCAGACGUGAAAUCCCUCGGCUUAACCGGGGAACUGCGUCUGAUACUGGAUGGCUUGAGUGUGGGAGAGGGAUGCGGAAUUCCAGGUGUAGCGGUGAAAUGCGUAGAUAUCUGGAGGAACACCGGUGGCGAAGGCGGCAUCCUGGACCACGACUGACGCUGAGUGAGCGAAAGCCAGGGAGCAAGCGGG